AUGGAUCGAAAUCGACACGCUGCAGUUUGGUCCGACUCUCCUUCACCACUAGAAAACCGUUACAGAAUCACCCACCACCAACGGACCAAGCAGCGGUUUAACAGGCGGGAACCACAGGAGAGGCAACAGAGGCAGCAGCAGCAGGAGCAGCAGCAGCUGCAGUGGGAGAGGCUGCACCACCUGGAGAAAUGGACAUGGGAGGAAGAACUGGACGGUAAAGGACCCUGGGCUCAGCCUGGAGAAUAUCGCCGCCCCAAGGAAGAACUGGAGGCGGCGAAAGCUGAGAGGCGCAGAUAUGAGGAGGCAGCACGGCGUAGCGGAUGGAAGCCUGAGAAUCAGCCCCAAAAAUUUCUUGGGGGGGGGCUCAGGGAGAGUGUGGCAGAGUCAGGAGUCAGACCUGAGCCAACUCUCCCUGUUUAUCGUGAGGAGCCAAGGAGGAGACCAGAACCAGAGACUGUGAAGGAGUUAAGGGGGAAAUUGGAGGAGAGAGAAAGAGGGAGUGUGCUGUGUUGGUGCUUUUUGCAGGGAAUUCGCCCGACGGAACGUGUUGGGGAUUUGAUGGCACCUGGGUUAGCGCUCCAUACUCGUCCUGAGGUGCGUGUUAGUCGGCUGGUGAAGUUGGUGCCAGCCUCACGCACCAGGCCUCCUGUGCACAUCCCUAGCCUUGCACAUCCUGUGCCAACACUGCUCUCAAGAUCUCCAGUACGCCUUCACGGUCUAGCCCAUCCUGGCUACCUCCAAACUCCAGCCUCCGGUAGCAGCUCCCCGCUCCAGGCUUCCUGUGCGUGUCCUCGAUCCAGUACCACCAGUUCCAGCACCAUGCACCAGGCCUUCAGUGUGCCUUGCCUGUUCAGCGCAGCCAGCGCUUUCUCCUCUCCUGCGCGGCUGGAGUCUCCCGCCUGUUUAGCGCAGCCAGAGCCUUUCUCCUCUACAGCGCUGCCGGAUCCUCCCGCCUGUUCAGCGCAGCCAGAGCCUUCCUCUCACAGCGCUGCCGGAGCCUCCCGCCUGUUUAGCGCAGCCAGAGCCUUCUCCUCUCCUACGCUGCCGGAGUCUCCCGCCUGUUCAGCGCAGCCAGAGCUGCCAGCCUGCAUGGAGAAGCCAGAGCUGCCAGCCUGCAUGGAGCAGCCAGAGCUGUCAGUCCGCAUAGAGCAGCCAGAGCUGUCAGUCCGCAAGAGC
rnacentral:lncRNA from 1 species